rnacentral:lncRNA from 1 species
GUUGAAUCUUUUAUCGAACAUAAUAGAAUAGAAUACCAAAGAAAGAUAGAGCAAUGCCGAUCAUUAAUCAACCAGACUAACAAUGCUUCCAUCUAACCAUUUGGUUAUCUAGCAUUCUCAUAUGAUAAGAAUUACAUCUGAAGAUGAACAAUUGCAUAUAUCUUUGAAGAUAAAAGAAUAUAUAGAAUACUCAGAAGAGAUCGUUGUAAGUUACUUGGCCAUAACCACUGCAUUCAGACACAUUUGUAGUUCAAACACUAUCCCGCUGACUACUAUAGUCAUUUAUGACUCCACAUUAUCCUGUUUGACAAAAGAAAUCAAUUCAGAAGAAAUUUCGAUUAAUCUAUUCUUUAGAUACCAUACCUGAAUAAAUCGAUUACCAGUAGUUAAUCUCUUCUUUAACAACGACAUUGCGUAUCCAAAAUGAUCUUCAAAAAAAUCUAAUAUCUCCUCUAGAACUCUCUUUACUUGUUAACUCAUUCUCGGAUUUGAUCGCAUUAUUAUUUAUUCAGCCACUGAACUCUUCGAUUUCAUACUUUUGGGCUUAAUCAACAUAAAUCUUGUGAAUUUCGUUGUAUAAGAUUUUGAAGGUGAAGGGGUGGAGAUCGUAAAGCCUCAAAAUUUUACUCUAAAAAAUACACAAAACAUAACAUUCAUUAUCAACAUAACAUUAUGAACUUUUUCUCUUACCUUAUGAGUUUCUACUCAUCCUUAGCAACAUUUUAAUCAGAUAAUUAAAUAUCACUUUCAACAUUAUCGGAAUUAGCUCAGUUGGAAAAUAUCUCUGUUUAAAAAUGAAACAAAUCUUAUCAGAGUCAGAAGAUAUCACACUACCUUGGGUCAUAUAAUGGCAUGUGUUUUUAGACUUCACACAUGCUACGUUCAGUUUGAGAACUGACUAAACCGUAGCUCUGAUACCACUAAAUGUAAUACCUUAACCCGUAUCUGUCGUCAGAAUAGGAUUACUGAGCAUUAUCAAAAGCUUUUAACUUAAAACAUUCGAUUACAAUAAUUUAUAAAACACAUCAUAUUCCAUCAAACACAUGCAUAAUGUCCCUUUUUCAAGCCCUCGAGGCCUUAAAGACACUUAGAAACGAUUUGGAACUAAAUCGAAAAUAUUUAGAACUUUAUGGAAAAAGAAAGAAAAAUUCACACUACAAGGGUCAUACGGCCGUGUGUCACAUACGGCUAAGACACACGCCCAUGUCUCAGGCCCUUAGACAAGAAAUAAACCAAUUUCAAACCAUUCCUUUCACCCAAAUCAACCUUGAACCUACAAGCCAAAAGCAUCUAUGAACAAAGCACCAAAACAUACCAAAAUAUGCAUAAUAAGACCACGUGUAAUAUGCAAUUAAAGCACCUCAAACACAAUUCAUCAAAUUCACCCAAAACAUAUGCAUAAUUGAUCAUUCAUUUGGCAUUUAUAUCUAAUCUAUUUCCAUACCAAAACUUACCUCAAAUGACCUCAAUGAAACCUCAUCAGCACAUACCAAGUUUGGUCGUAAAACCUUGCAUCAACUUGACCAAAUAAACAUCAACCAUUUAGCAUCAAAAUACCACAAACAUACCAAUCAUCAAGGUAUGAAACUACCAUUAAUUCUGCACUUCAAAACAAUAUUACAAGUCAUAAACAUUAACUAAACCUUAAAC